GACGAACGCUGGCGGCGUGCCUAAUACAUGCAAGUAGAACGCUGAAGAGAGGAGCUUGCUCUUCUUGGAUGAGUUGCGAACGGGUGAGUAACGCGUAGGUAACCUGCCUUGUAGCGGGGGAUAACUAUUGGAAACGAUAGCUAAUACCGCAUAACAAUGGAUGACACAUGUCAUUUAUUUGAAAGGGGCAAUUGCUCCACUACAAGAUGGACCUGCGUUGUAUUAGCUAGUAGGUGAGGUAAUGGCUCACCUAGGCGACGAUACAUAGCCGACCUGAGAGGGUGAUCGGCCACACUGGGACUGAGACACGGCCCAGACUCCUAUGGGAGGCAGCAGUAGGGAAUCUUCGGCAAUAGGGGCAACCCUGACCGAGCAACGCCGCGUGAGUGAAGAAGGUUUUCGGAUCGUAAAGCUCUGUUGUAAGUCAAGAACGGGUGUGAGAGUGGAAAGUUCACACUGUGACGGUAGCUUACCAGAAAGGGACGGCUAACUACGUG
rnacentral:rRNA from 1 species